rnacentral:lncRNA from 1 species
AUUCUGUUGGGGGCUUCAGUGCCAUGCAGGCAUUGUGAACCACUAUGGAGCCUGGCUUUCAGCUGAUCCUGGGGAAGUCACAAAAAGUGGUAGCAGAGCUGCUUCCAGAUGACAUGAGGCUAGGCAUUGACUACAGUAGUCUCCAGUGGAAGUCAGUGCUGUCUUGCCAGUUCUUUAUUUGGAGCCUGGGGCUUGCUCCCACAUCACCCUGGGUGAAGAACUUGUCUUCCAGACCUAUGACACUGUCCUAUUCUCAGCUACAAAUACAAGCCAAAGUGCUGCUUGACCUAGUGAAUACCUGUCUAACAUAGAUCAAGACAUACACCAUCCACCUGGCGUGCAGAUGUUAGCUUCUGUGACAAGGUUAAUCCCCCAAUUAUUGUAUUGAUUCCAGCCUUCUCCUCCCUCCCCUAUCAAUUUAUAUGCACAAGGUGGGCUGAAAACUCCUGUAAGCACAAUGUCUGAUAUUUGGAUCCUCAGUUAAAUUUGUUAUUUAUUUAUUUAUUAUAGAGACAGUCUCUUAUGUUGCCCAGGCUGGUUUCAAAUUCCAAGCAUCAAGCAAUCCUCCCACCUCAGCCUCCCAGAGUGCUGGGAUUACAGGCAUGAGUGACCAUGCCCAGCCAAAAUUUGUGUUGAAACAAUAAUUAGAUGAAUGAAGCCAGCCUGUUAGUCUCCAAUGUAAAAAACUGGACAUCAAUUUUCUUUAUCUAUAAAUUAUUUUAGUUUUUCUUUUGAGAAAAUGGGAACUUUCUUAGGAUUUGCAUUUAAAAGUUAGUCAUUAAAUAACAACUCUCAACAGCAGAAUCUACGUCUUUAUAGUUCAACCAAUAACUAUUGGUUGAAAUAACUAUCUUAUAUUAAAUAGUAAUUAAAUAAAC